CGACCGCUGGCGGCGUGCUUAACACAUGCAAGUCGAACGGAAAGGCCCUGCAUUUGUGGGGUGCUCGAGUGGCGAACGGGUGAGUAACACGUGAGUAACCUGCCCUUGACUUUGGGAUAACUUCAGGAAACUGGGGCUAAUACCGGAUAGGAGCUCCUGCUGCAUGGUGGGGGUUGGAAAGUUUCGGCGGUUGGGGAUGGACUCGCGGCUUAUCAGCUUGUUGGUGGGGUAGUGGCUUACCAAGGCUUUGACGGGUAGCCGGCCUGAGAGGGUGACCGGCCACAUUGGGACUGAGAUACGGCCCAGACUCCUACGGGAGGCAGCAGUGGGGAAUAUUGCACAAUGGGCGGAAGCCUGAUGCAGCAACGCCGCGUGCGGGAUGACGGCCUUCGGGUUGUAAACCGCUUUCGCCUGUGACGAAGCGUGAGUGACGGUAAUGGGUAAAGAAGCACCGGCUAACUACGUG
rnacentral:rRNA from 1 species